GCGGCGGUAGUUCAGUGGUAGAACGCUUCCUUGCCAAGGAAGAGGUCGCCAGUUCAAGUCUGGUUCGCCGCU
rnacentral:tRNA from 1 species